rnacentral:lncRNA from 1 species
ACCGCGCGGGAGGGGCGGGGCCUGCCGCCGCCACCGCCUCAGGGAAGAGGAAGGAGGCCGCGGCUUCGCGUCCCGCCUCUCGCCUGGCUGGCCGUGGGGGGCCUGGACGCAGUGGCCUCCCGAAUCUCCCAGGACCCUAAUAUCGCCCGAGGAUGCUGGGAGGAACGCUGAGCCGACCUCUCCGUUAGGCUGAAGAUUGCACAAACCAUGCUAAUGGCCAGCAUGGAUGGAGGGAGCGUGUGAGAUGUGUGGGGCAGCGUGCUGCAUCUCAGCCAACUCCAGGAGCCAGUUGAUGUGAUGGACUACCUUAAUUGAUUUUUGAAUGUUGAGCCAGCCUUAUGCAUGUGGGAUAAACCCCUGUUGAUCAUGGCUGGCUGGAGUGCAGUGGUGCAAUCAUGGCUCACUGCAACCUCAAAUUCCUGGGCUCAAGGGAUCCUCCUGCCUCAGCCUCCCAAGUAGCUAGGACUACAGGAAGCAUGCUCAUGGCAAUACCCGGAGUCUCCACUGCAAGACCAGAGUGACGGAGGCAGCAGAGCUCCUCAGCAGGCCAGGAGUCUCCAGAGGCACUGCCGAAUGUCUAAGAAGCAACCUCAUUGUAUUCCCAAGACCUGGGAAUCCAGGUCUCGCAGAUACGAUGAUACAAUCUAUAGCCAGGACAUCUCUUCAUGUGUAGUUUUCAAUGAAUACUAGGAUAAGCAACUAUCCCAGUCUUCCCAGGAUUGAGGGGCUUCUCCAGAUGCUGCACUUCUGGUGCUAAAAAUGAGAAACUGAAAUGAAUUAGUCACCCAAGGAAUGCUGACCCUGUGCUAUAUGAUCACAUUUACUCUUUAAAGCAAUGCUUUGAGAACAAUUGAGCUGCAUAGUCCCUGCAAUCUUAUAAAGGCAUUUGGCCUGGAAGAUGCUCUGCAGCCAUGUGCCAAGAAUAACGGCUAUAGGGACAAUGUUUCAUUAACCCCAAAGCAGCAACCUGAACCUCUUACUGUACAAUAUCUGCUCCGUUCAGAAUUAGCUCGACUUGAGUCACAGGAUGAAGCUUACCAAAAGGAAUUUCCACGUCCAAGGAAGGAACCAAGAUCACUGAGAGGUUAUAGUAUGAAAAGUGAAGAGAAAAAACCUAUUCUAAACAUUUUAUUAAUUGUCAAUAAUUAUUUUAAAAUAUUUAAUAUAGUCUCCUACCUGGUCCACUGGCAUCAAGCUGCCAAAUUUACACGGUCACUUUGGGAAGCCAGCUGGCAGGCAAACAUGGAAAGUGCUGGCUCCUAGCGUAGUGAGAAGACCACAGAUAGAUGGUAAUUUUCUUCUUUGUUUUAUUUUUCUUUUUCUUCUCUCCCUCUUUUUCUUCCCUCUUGCCUUUCCCUCCCAUUGCCCACUUUCUUUUUUUGGCUGCCGAAGAUUUAUUGCCUUUCAGUACUUAUAGAUGAUGUUUUCAUAAGUUCUAAUGAGGUCCCAGCAGUUUUUAACAAUAACAGGACAUUACUGUUCCUAAGAUAUAUUAUGUGUUUUCCCUCAUCUUUCUCCCUUGAAUGAAAUGCUUAGAAGUAGGCUAACCCCCAAUUCCCUUCCCUUUACUAUGAUAAAUGGCUCCAUUACUUAAUAGGGCUAAAUACUCUGCUGUGACUUUUAUACUGCUGAUUUGAAUAAAAUCUUACGAAAA